rnacentral:rRNA from 1 species
UGGGGAAUAUUGGACAAUGGGCGCAAGCCUGAUCCAGCAAUGCCGCGUGAGUGAUGAAGGCCUUAGGGUUGUAAAGCUCUUUCGCACGCGACGAUGAUGACGGUAGCGUGAGAAGAAGCCCCGGCUAACUACGUGCCAGCAGCCGCGGUAAUACGUAGGGGGCAAGCGUUGUCCGGAUUUACUGGGUGUAAAGGGCGCGCAGGCGGGAUAAAAAGUCAGUGGUGAAAUCCUACAGCUUAACUGUAGAACUGCCUUUGAUACUUUUAUUCUUGAGUUCGGGAGAGAGUGACGGAAUUCCUGGUGUAGUGGUGAAAUACGUAGAUAUCUGGAAGAACACCAGUUGCGAAGGCGGUCUCUUGGUCCGACACUGACGCUGAGGCGCGAAAGCGUGGGGAGCAAACA